rnacentral:lncRNA from 1 species
GGCAAGUCCAGAGGAGCUGACCCAGGGACAAAGUUAGCUGCAGUAGUGGACAAGUGUACUCGGGCACCCUCCUCCAACCCUUCUGUUUGUCCCUUACCUUGGUUGGAGACGUGACUGCAGUCGCCGGUCCAAGCCGUUAGCAGGGGCAAGAAGAAACCAAAUUGCAAAAGAAAUUCCCGGACUUCGUAGCCCCCCAUGGUUCUGAGCUAUAUUGUUCAGAAUUCUUUUGUAUUCCUUCAGAACAUUGUUCUUCAAGAUAUAUGGGAUCGGGUUUCAGCUAAAGCACAAGAAAACUUGUAGAGGCUCAGGAGUACAAAAUAGAUCCCUGGUGACAAAAAUUCUGAAAUAUUUUCAUAGAAGAAAUUUGGGACAAGCUCCUGCUUCUGGGAGAUAUCUCGACUUCACUCUUCUCUGUCUAAUGCAUUAUGUACUUGGAUUAAUUAGAACAAAUGUGAUUUGCAUUGUCGAUCUCAAAAUACCUAA